rnacentral:rRNA from 1 species
CAUAACAAGGUCUCCGUUGGUGAACCAGCGGAGGGAUCAUUAUAGAGUUUUCUAAACUCCCAACCCAUGUGAACUUACCUUUUGUUGCCUCGGCAGAAGUUAUAGGUCUUCUUAUAGCUGCUGCCGGUGGACCAUUAAACUCUUGUUAUUUUAUGUAAUCUGAGCGUCUUAUUUUAAUAAGUCAAAACUUUCAACAACGGAUCUCUUGGUUCUGGCAUCGAUGAAGAACGCAGCGAAAUGCGAUAAGUAAUGUGAAUUGCAGAAUUCAGUGAAUCAUCGAAUCUUUGAACGCACAUUGCGCCCAUUAGUAUUCUAGUGGGCAUGCCUGUUCGAGCGUCAUUUCAACCCUUAAGCCUAGCUUAGUGUUGGGAAUCUACUUCUCUUAGGAGUUGUAGUUCCUGAAAUACAACGGCGGAUUUGUAGUAUCCUCUGAGCGUAGUAAUUUUUUUCUCGCUUUUGUUAGGUGCUAUAACUCCCAGCCGCUAAACCCCCAAUUUUUUGUGGUUGACCUCGGAUCAGGUAGGAAUACCCGCUGAACUUAAGCAUA